AUUGAACGCUGGCGGCAGGCUUAGCACAUGCAAGUCGAGCGGGGGAGGUUGCUUCGGUAACUGACCUAGCGGCGGACGGGUGAGUAAUGCUUAGGAAUCUGCCUAUUAGUGGGGGACAACAUUCCGAAAGGGAUGCUAAUACCGCAUACGCCCUACGGGGGAAAGCAGGGGAUCUUCGGACCUUGCGCUAAUAGAUGAGCCUAAGUCGGAUUAGCUAGUUGGUGGGGUAAAGGCCUACCAAGGCGACGAUCUGUAGCGGGUCUGAGAGGAUGAUCCGCCACACUGGGACUGGGACACGGCCCAGACUCCUACGGGAGGCAGCAGUGGGGAAUAUUGGACAAUGGGCGGAAGCCUGAUCCAGCCAUGCCGCGUGUGUGAAGAAGGCCUUUUGGUUGUAAAGCACUUUAAGCGAGGAGGAGGCUACUAGUACUAAUACUACUGGAUAGUGGACGUUACUCGCAGAAUAAGCACCGGCUAACUCUGUGCCAGCAGCCGCCGUAAAAC
rnacentral:rRNA from 1 species